GAAUUGGCAGCAGGUCUAAGGAAGAUCGGGCACCCAAAGCCAGUAAAAACCAGGGACCAACUCCAGGAUGUAAACAGGCUGUCACAGGCCAAGAGGCACCAUUAAUUUCCUGGGCAUCUAGGCCUGAGGCCAAGAACAGAAGUGAUCUGCUUUAGACUGUAAACAGAGCAAGACUCUAAACAGCCUUCAUUCAGUUAAACCUGGAAAUUUUAUCCAUAUGCUUGAAGAAAGGCACCUCACAAGAAAAUCCCCUAUGAAUCAAGUCGCACACAGAUUUACAUGGUGGAAAAAAAGAACAAGGAAAGAUGCCAAAUUGAAAAACGACAAGCUGCCACCAGGAAAAAGUCAAUUUUUAAUAUGCAUUGGUACUUUGGCUUUAUACCUUCUCAAGCUGAAGAAUAUGCUAGAAAACUGAACAAUUCUUCAUUAAGAUAUAUAUGAAGAGCCAGCAGUGUCAUCUUGGAAGAGAAGGACAAUGGUUCUUGGAUUCUUCAUUUCUUGUCUAUUAAAAGGGAAUUACAGAAGAAGCCACUUCACAAUAU
rnacentral:lncRNA from 1 species